ensembl:snRNA U6 U6 spliceosomal RNA
GUGCUUCCACAGCACAUACAUUAAAACUGGAACAAUACAGAAGAUUAGCACGGCCUUUGAACAAAGAUGACAUGCAAAUUUGUGAAGUGUUCCAUUUUUUU